UACGUAGGGGGCUAGCGUUGUCCGGAAUCAUUGGGCGUAAAGAGCGUGUAGGCGGCCCGGUAAGUCCGCUGUGAAAGUCGGGGGCUCAACCCUCGAAUGCCGGUGGAUACUGUCAGGCUAGAGUCCGGAAGAGGAGAGUGGAAUUCCUGGUGUAGCGGUGAAAUGCGCAGAUAUCAGGAAGAACACCUAUGGCGAAGGCAGCUCUCUGGGACGGUACUGACGCUGAGACGCGAAAGCGUGGGGAGCGAACAGG
rnacentral:rRNA from 1 species